GCCUUCGUGGUGUAAUGGUCAGCACACUGAGCCGGUAUUUCAGAGGUCCGCGGUUCGAUUCCCGUCGAAGGCG
rfam:Stegodyphus mimosarum contig114851, whole genome shotgun sequence.